rnacentral:rRNA from 3 species
GGAUGGGACCAUACCAGCACUAAAGCACCGGAUCCCAUCAGAACUCCGAAGUGAAGCGUGCUUGGGCGAGAGUAUUACCAGGAUUGGUGACCUCCUGGGAAGUCCUCGUGUUGCAUUCC